AGUGAACGCUGGCGGCAUGCCUAACACAUGCAAGUCGAACGGUAACGGGCCCGCAAGGGUGCCGACGAGUGGCGGACGGGUGAGGAAUACAUCGGAAUUUGCCCAGUCGUGGGGGAUAACGUAGGGAAACUUACGCUAAUACCGCAUACGACCUAACGGUGAAAGCGGGGGAUCUGAAAGGACCUCGCGCGGAUGGAUAAGCCGAUGUCGGAUUAGCUAGUUGGCGGGGUAAAGGCCCACCAAGGCGACGAUCCGUAGCUGGUCUGAGAGGAUGAUCAGCCACACUGGGACUGAGACACGGCCCAGACUCCUACGGGAGGCAGCAGUGGGGAAUAUUGGACAAUGGGGGCAACCCUGAUCCAGCAAUGCCGCGUGUGUGAAGAAGGCCUUCGGGUUGUAAAGCACUUUUAUCAGGAACGAAACACGCAGUUUUAAUACAGCUGCGGACUGACGGUACCUGAGGAAUAAGCACCGGCUAACUUCGUGCCAGCCGCCGCAG
rnacentral:rRNA from 1 species